rnacentral:sRNA from 1 species
AUUACUGUAUAUGUAUUCAGCCGUGAUUCCCAAAGGUUCAUUUUAUGACAGCAUCUUUCUGAUUUCCUCACAGUUUAUUAUCUUCCCAUUGCCCAAGUUUAGUAACUUUAUAUUAGUUUUGGCUUCGUACAGGCACCACUCAUUGGGAGCAACACAGAAAUCUGUUUCAAAACAUCAUUUCAGGAAAAAGAGAAUAUUUUAGUGUUGAGGAUCUUUAAAAGUAUUGCAGUACUUUAUAGAACUAAGUUGUAGGAGCUAAGAGGAUCUUUUAAUUCAUGCUAUGCAAUUAUGUAUUUUUUGUUGUUGUUGUAUUUUAUUUUAUUUUGAUUUGUAUGACUUCGGAAGAGGGUAUGAUUUUACCAUUCAAGAAAAUGGACUUCAGAUAGAUCAACCUCCUGAAAUAGGAAACAUCUCCAUUGUUCGCAUCAUAAUAAUGAAAAAUGAUAACGCAGAAGGCAUCAUUGAAUUUGACCCAAAGUAUACUGCCUUCGAAGUGGAGGAAGAUGUUGGGCUGAUCAUGAUCCCAGUGGUGAGGCUACAUGGAACUUAUGGCUAUGUGACAGCUGAUUUCAUCUCUCAGAGCUCCUCUGCCAGUCCCGGAGGUGUUGAUUACAUUUUGCAUGGCACUACAGUCACCUUUCAGCAUGGGCAAAACUUAAGUUUUAUAAAUAUCUCCAUCAUUGAUGACAAUGAAAGUGAAUUUGAGGAGCCCAUUGAAAUUCUACUCACUGGAGCUACUGGAGGAGCGGUCCUUGGGCGCCACCUAGUGAGCAGAAUCAUAAUAGCUAAGAGUGACUCUCCCUUUGGAGUUAUAAGGUUUCUCAAUCAAAGCAAAAUUUCUAUUCCUAAUCCCAAUUCCACAAUGAUUUUAUCACUGGUGCUGGAGCGGACUGGAGGACUCUUGGGAGAGAUUCAGGUGAACUGGGAGACAGUAGGACCCAACUCUCAAGAAGCCUUACUGCCACAGAAUAGAGACAUUGCAGACCCAGUGAGCGGGUUGUUCUAUUUUGGAGAAGGAGAAGGAGGAGUGAGAACCAUAAUUCUGACAAUCUAUCCUCAUGAAGAAAUUGAAGUUGAAGAGACAUUCAUUAUUAAACUUCAUCUUGUGAAAGGAGAAGCUAAAUUAGACUCCAGAGCUAAAGAUGUUACAUUAACCAUACAAAAGUUUGGUGACCCAAAUGGAGUUGUUCAGUUUGCUCCUGAGACUUUGUCUAAGAAGACUUAUUCAGAGCCUCUGGCUCUGGAAGGGCCCCUGCUCAUUACCUUCUUUGUCAGAAGAGUCAAGGGCACCUUUGGAGAGAUUAUGGUUUACUGGGAAUUAAGUAGUGAGUUUGACAUUACUGAAGACUUUCUUUCCACCAGUGGAUUUUUCACCAUUGCUGAUGGAGAGAGUGAAGCUAGCUUUGAUGUUCAUUUGCUACCAGAUGAGGUACCUGAGAUAGAGGAAGAUUAUGUGAUCCAGCUUGUUUCUGUAGAGGGAGGAGCCGAACUGGAUCUGGAGAAAAGUAUCACAUGGUUCUCUGUUUAUGCAAAUGAUGACCCACAUGGAGUAUUUGCCCUGUAUUCGGAUCGCCAGUCAAUACUUAUUGGGCAGAACCUUAUUAGAUCCAUCCACAUUAACAUAACCCGGCUUGCUGGAACAUUUGGAGAUGUGGCUGUUGGGCUUCGAAUAUCAUCGGAUCAUAAAGAACAGCCAAUUGUUACCGAAAAUGCAGAGAGGCAGCUGGUGGUCAAAGAUGGUGCCACAUAUAAAGUGGACGUGGUGCCAAUAAAGAAUCAGGUCUUCCUAUCACUGGGCUCUAAUUUCACUUUGCAACUGGUGACUGUGAUGCUUGUCGGUGGACGUUUCUAUGGAAUGCCAACAAUUCUUCAGGAAGCAAAAUCUGCUGUCCUUCCAGUCUCUGAGAAAGCUGCCAAUUCUCAGGUCGGAUUUGAAUCCACUGCUUUUCAACUCAUGAACAUCACUGCUGGCACAAGCCACGUUAUGAUUUCUAGGAGAGGCACAUAUGGCGCUCUCUCGGUUGCCUGGACCACUGGAUAUGCUCCUGGGUUAGAAAUUCCUGAAUUCAUUGUUGUUGGCAACAUGACCCCAACACUGGGGAGCCUUUCAUUUUCCCACGGUGAACAAAGGAAAGGAGUUUUCCUGUGGACGUUUCCUAGCCCUGGUCGGCCAGAGGCCUUUGUUCUUCACCUAUCAGGAGUGCAGAGCAGUGCUCCUGGCGGAGCUCAACUCCGAUCAGGUUUCAUUGUUGCUGAAAUUGAACCAAUGGGCGUCUUCCAAUUUUCCACUAGCUCAAGAAAUAUCAUAGUGUCAGAAGAUACACAGAUGAUCAGAUUACAUGUACAAAGACUAUUUGGGUUCCACAGCGAUCUUAUUAAAGUUUCUUAUCAGACCACUGCAGGAAGCGCCAAGCCACUGGAAGAUUUUGAGCCUGUUCAGAAUGGGGAACUGUUUUUUCAAAAAUUCCAAACUGAGGUUGAUUUUGAAAUAACCAUUAUUAAUGAUCAGCUUUCUGAGAUAGAAGAAUUUUUUUACAUUAACCUUACUUCAGUAGAAAUUAGGGGAUUACAAAAGUUUGAUGUUAAUUGGAGCCCACGCCUGAAUCUAGAUUUCAGUGUUGCAGUGAUUACAAUAUUGGAUAAUGAUGACCUGGCAGGAAUGGAUAUUUCCUUCACCGAGACAACUGUGGCUGUAGCAGUUGACACAACUCUCAUUCCUGUAGAAACUGAAUCCACCACAUACCUCAGCACGAGCAAGACGACUACUAUUCUGCAGCCAACCAACGUGGUUGCCAUUGUUACUGAGGCAACUGGUGUAUCUGCCAUCCCUGAGAAACUUGUCACCCUUCAUGGCACACCUGCUGUGUCUGAAAAGCCUGAUGUGGCCACUGUAACUGCCAAUGUUUCCAUUCAUGGAACAUUCAGCCUUGGGCCAUCCAUUGUUUAUGUUGAAGAGGAGAUGAAGAAUGGCACAUUCAACACUGCAGAAGUUCUUAUCCGAAGAACUGGUGGGUUUACUGGCAAUGUCAGCAUAACAGUUAAAACUUUCGGUGAAAAAUGUGCUCAGAUGGAACCAAAUGCAUUGCCCUUUCGUGGUAUCUAUGGGAUUUCCAACCUAACAUGGGCAGUUGAAGAAGAAGACUUUGAAGAACAAACUCUUACCCUUAUAUUCCUAGAUGGAGAAAGAGAACGUAAAGUAUCAGUUCAAAUUUUGGAUGAUGAUGAGCCUGAGGGGCAGGAAUUCUUCUACGUGUUUCUCACAAACCCUCAAGGGGGAGCACAGAUUGUGGAGGGGAAGGAUGAUACUGGAUUUGCAGCUUUUGCCAUGGUUAUUAUUACAGGGAGUGACCUUCACAAUGGCAUCAUAGGAUUCAGUGAGGAGUCCCAGAGUGGACUAGAACUCAGGGAAGGAGCUGAUAUGAGAAGAUUGCACCUUAUUGUCACAAGACAGCCAAACAGGGCCUUUGAAGAUGUCAAGGUCUUUUGGCGAGUCACACUUAACAAAACAGUCGUCGUGCUCCAGAAGGAUGGGAUAAACCUGAUGGAGGAACUUCAGUCUGUGUCAGGGACCACAACCUGUACAAUGGGUCAAACAAAAUGCUUUAUCAGCAUUGAACUCAAACCAGAAAAGAUACCACAGGUUGAAGUGUAUUUUUUUGUGGAACUAUAUGAAGCUACUGCUGGAGCAGCAAUAAACAACAGUGCCAGAUUCGCACAGAUUAAAAUCUUAGAAAGUGAUGAAUCUCAAAGCCUUGUGUAUUUUUCUGUGGGUUCUCGGCUGGCAGUGGCUCACAAAAAGGCCACUUUAAUCAGUCUGCAGGUGGCCAGAGAUUCUGGGACAGGACUAAUGAUGUCUGUUAACUUUAGUACCCAGGAGUUGAGGAGUGCUGAAACAAUUGGUCGUACCAUCAUAUCUCCAGCUAUUUCUGGAAAGGAUUUUGUGAUAACUGAAGGCACAUUGGUCUUUGAACCUGGCCAGAGAAGCACUGUAUUGGAUGUCAUCCUAACGCCAGAGACAGGAUCUUUAAAUUCAUUUCCUAAACGCUUCCAGAUUGUCCUUUUUGACCCAAAAGGUGGUGCCAGAAUUGAUAAAGUGUAUGGGACUGCCAACAUCACUCUUGUCUCAGAUGCAGAUUCGCAGGCCAUUUGGGGGCUUGCAGAUCAGCUACAUCAGCCUGUGAAUGAUGAUAUUCUCAACAGAGUGCUCCAUACCAUCAGCAUGAAAGUGGCCACAGAAAACACAGAUGAACAACUCAGUGCCAUGAUGCAUUUAAUAGAAAAGAUAACUACUGAAGGAAAAAUUCAAGCUUUCAGUGUUGCCAGCCGAACUCUUUUCUAUGAGAUUCUUUGUUCUCUUAUUAACCCAAAGCGCAAGGACACUAGGGGAUUCAGUCACUUUGCUGAAGUGACUGAGAAUUUUGCCUUUUCUCUGCUGACUAAUGUUACUUGCGGCUCUCCUGGUGAAAAAAGCAAAACCAUCCUUGAUAGUUGCCCAUAUUUGUCAAUAUUGGCUCUUCACUGGUAUCCUCAGCAAAUCAAUGGACACAAGUUUGAAGGAAAGGAAGGAGAUUACAUUCAAAUUCCAGAGAAGCUACUGGAUGUCCAGGAUGCAGAAAUAAUGGCUGGGAAAAGUACAUGUAAAUUAGUCCAGUUUACAGAGUAUAGCAGCCAACAGUGGUUUAUAAGUGGAAACAAUCUUCCUACCCUAAAAAAUAAGGUAUUAUCUUUGAGUGUGAAAGGUCAGAGUUCACAACUCCUGACUAAUGACAAUGAGGUUCUCUACAGGAUUUAUGCUGCUGAGCCUAGAAUUAUUCCUCAGACAUCUCUGUGUCUCCUUUGGAAUCAGGCUGCUGCAAGCUGGUUGUCUGACAGUCAGUUUUGCAAAGUGGUUGAGGAAACUGCAGACUAUGUGGAAUGUGCCUGUUCACACAUGUCUGUGUAUGCUGUCUAUGCUCAGACUGACAACUUGUCUUCAUACAAUGAAGCCUUCUUCACUUCUGGAUUUAUAUGUAUCUCAGGUCUUUGCUUGGCUGUUCUUUCCCAUAUCUUCUGUGCCAGGUACUCCAUGUUUGCAGCUAAACUUCUGACUCACAUGAUGGCAGCCAGCUUAGGUACACAGAUUCUGUUUCUGGCGUCUGCAUACGCAAGUCCCCAACUGGCUGAGGAGAGCUGUUCAGCUAUGGCUGCUGUCACACAUUACCUAUAUCUUUGCCAGUUUAGCUGGAUGCUCAUUCAGUCUGUGAAUUUCUGGUACGUGCUGGUGAUGAAUGAUGAGCACACAGAGAGGCGAUAUCUGCUGUUUUUCCUUCUGAGUUGGGGACUACCAGCUUUUGUGGUGAUUCUCCUCAUAGUUAUUUUGAAAGGAAUCUAUCAUCAGAGCAUGUCACAGAUCUAUGGACUCAUUCAUGGUGACCUGUGUUUUAUUCCAAACGUCUAUGCUGCUUUGUUCACUGCAGCUCUUGUUCCUUUGAUGUGCCUCGUGGUGGUGUUCGUGGUGUUCAUCCAUGCCUACCAGGUGAAGCCACAGUGGAAAGCAUAUGAUGAUAUCUUCAGAGGAAGGACAAAUGCUGCAGAAAUUCCACUGAUUUUAUAUCUCUUUGCUCUGAUUUCCGUGACAUGGCUUUGGGGAGGACUACACAUGGCCUACAGACACUUCUGGAUGUUGGUUCUCUUUGUCAUUUUCAACAGUCUGCAGGGACUUUAUGUUUUCGUGGUUUAUUUCAUUUUACACAACCAAAUGUGUUGCCCUAUGAAGGCCAGUUACACUGUGGAAAUGAAUGGGCAUCCUGGACCCAGCACAGCCUUUUUCACGCCCGGGAGUGGAAUGCCUCCUGCUGGAGGGGAAAUCAGCAAGUCCACCCAGAAUCUCAUCAGUGCUAUGGAGGAGGUGCCACCUGACUGGGAGAGAGCAUCCUUCCAACAGGGCAGUCAGGCCAGCCCUGAUUUAAAGCCAAGUCCACAAAAUGGAGCCACGUUCCCGUCCUCUGGAGGAUAUGGCCAGGGGUCACUGAUAGCCGAUGAGGAGUCCCAGGAGUUUGAUGAUUUAAUAUUUGCAUUAAAAACUGGUGCUGGUCUCAGUGUCAGUGAUAAUGAAUCUGGUCAAGGCAGCCAGGAGGGGGGCACCUUGACUGACUCCCAGAUCGUGGAGCUCAGGAGGAUACCCAUCGCCGACACUCACCUGUAGCACCUCACUAACCAUUCGACUGAGCACACUUUCAUAUUUGUAUCAGCUUUUGUGCUAAAACUCUCUAAGUACAUCCACCUGUGUAAUAGGAACCUGUGAACUGUACUGGAUGAUUAACACAAACGUGAUUGUUGUAUUUGGAGUAUAAAUUACUGAUUGUAUGUGACCUGAAAAUUCACUGCUAUAAGAAAGGUGGAGUCAGUUUGUAUCAGUUAAUAGGAUGUUCAUAUUCCAAGGAUAUUAGUUGUUUUUUUAAUCAUCCUAUAUGGCUAACAUUGUUUAAUGAAAGUAAUAAUCAAUAAAGCAAUAGAAUCU